rnacentral:tRNA from 1 species
GGUGCUGGGGCUAAGAGGUAGAGUGCUUGCCUUGCAUGCCUGAGGCCCUGGGUUCAAUUCCUCAGCACCA